rnacentral:rRNA from 1 species
CUCAAAGAAUUUGGCGGUAUUMAAYUCUGGUUAGAGGAACCUGUUAUGUAAUCGAUAGUCCACGUUGAACCUUACUUAGUUAAUUUUUUUUUGUAUAUCGCUGUUUMGAAAAUAUUAUAAGAUUGAUUUACUUAAUAUUUAAUUUAAUAAGAAUUCAAGUCAAGGUGCAGUAGGUAAUUAAGUUGUAUAAUGGGUUACAAUAAGUUUUAUUUAUAUGGAUUAUUAAUGAAAUAUAGAUUUGAAGGUGGAUUUAAUUGUAAUUUUUUAAAGAUUAUUAAAAUGAUUAAGCUCUAUAAUAUGUACACAUCGCCC